rnacentral:rRNA from 1 species
GAGGUAAUGGCCCACCAAACCUGUUACCGGUACGGGCUCUGAGAGGAGGAGCCCGGAGAUGGGCACUGAGACAAGGGCCCAGGCCCUAUGGGGCGCAGCAGGCGCGAAACCUCUGCAAUAGGCGAAAGCCUGACAGGGUUACUCUGAGUGAUUCCCGCUAAGGGGAUCUUUUGGCACCUCUAAAAAUGGUGCAGAAUAAGGGGUGGGCAAGUCUGGUGUCAGCCGCCGCGGUAAUACCAGCACCCCGAGUGGUCGGGACGAUUAUUGGGCCUAAAGCAUCCGUAGCCGGUCAUGCAAGUCCUCCGUUAAAUCCACCUGCUCAACAGAUGGGCUGCGGAGGAUACUACAAGGCUAGGAGGCGGAAGAGGCAAGCGGUACUCAGUGGGUAGGGGUAAAAUCCUCUGAUCCAUUGAAGACCACCAGUGGCGAAGGCGGCUUGCCAAUACGCGCUCGACGGUGAGGGAUGAAAGCUGGGGGAGCAAACCGGAUUAGAUACCCGGGUAGUCCCAGCUGUAAACGAUGCAGACUCGGUGAUGGGCCGGCUUUAUGCCGGCUCAGUGCCGCAGGGAAGCCGUUAAGUCUGCCGCCUGGGGAGUACGGUCGCAAGACUGAAACUUAAAGGAAUUGGCGGGGGA